AUGAACGCUGGCGGCGUGCUUAACACAUGCCCGUCGAACGAAGCAUUUGCGACAGAUUUUUUCGGAAUGAAGUUGCUUAUGACUGAGUGGCGGACGGGUGAGUAACGCGUGGGUAACCUGCCUUGUACUGGGGGAUAGCAGCUGGAAACGGCUGGUAAUACCGCAUAAGCGCACAAUGUUGCAUGACAUGGUGUGAAAAACUCCGGUGGUAUAAGAUGGACCCGCGUCUGAUUAGCUAGUUGGUGAGAUAACAGCCCACCAAGGCGACGAUCAGUAGCCGACCUGAGAGGGUGACCGGCCACAUUGGGACUGAGACACGGCCCAGACUCCUACGGGAGGCAGCAGUGGGGAAUAUUGCACAAUGGAGGAAACUCUGAUGCAGCGACGCCGCGUGAGUGAAGAAGUAAUUCGUUAUGUAAAGCUCUAUCAGCAGGGAAGAUAGUGACGGUACCUGACUAAGAAGCUCCGGCUAAAUACGUG
rnacentral:rRNA from 1 species